UUCGCCCUUAGAGUUUGAUCCUGGCUCAGAGCGAACGCUGGCGGCAGGCUUAACACAUGCAAGUCGAACGGGCUUCUUCGGAAGUCAGUGGCAGACGGGUGAGUAACACGUGGGAACGUGCCCUUCGGUUCGGAAUAACUCAGGGAAACUUGAGCUAAUACCGGAUACGCCCUUAUGGGGAAAGGUUUACUGCCGAAGGAUCGGCCCGCGUCUGAUUAGCUUGUUGGUGGGGUAACGGCCUACCAAGGCGACGAUCAGUAGCUGGUCUGAGAGGAUGAUCAGCCACACUGGGACUGAGACACGGCCCAGACUCCUACGGGAGGCAGCAGAAGGG
rnacentral:rRNA from 1 species